ensembl:lncRNA
CAGCGACGCUGACUCGGAUAAUGACGAGAGGGAUCCGGGCAUGUUGGAUGCCGUACUCGCCCAACUGUUCAAUUCGGACACAAGAAUUCGAGGGAUUCGUAGACGGGGAAUGAACUGAAAAAUCUUGUUGCAGUUUUGAAGAGGCUCUCAGCAAACGUGAUCACCAUCAUCCACACCUCCUUGCUGUUGGAAGAAACCAAAAUCGGAUCGACCAGUUCUACAUUGUCUUGGACAAAAAGCUGAUUCCUUGUGAGGCAGCAAGUGCAGUGGGUGCAUUUGAUGAUCUUUUUAAAUUGCACUUUGUUUUCAAUUUGGCAUAUGAUCAUGCACUUCACAACUUCUACACAUUUGCCCAGACUACUGUAUACAAAAUUGACAUUGGAAAAACUAAAGAAUCACCAAGGGUUAGAGAAUUCCGUGCAAAGCUAUUGAAUUAAGUUUUUUUUUUUUUUUAUUGGAAUUUGCUUAACCUUAACGAUGAUGAAAUGUUUUAAAUGCCAAGAAUUGCAUGGAACCAGUCAGGC